rnacentral:rRNA from 1 species
CCCUUAGAUGUCCUGGGCCGCACGCGUGCUACACUGACACUUACACCGAGUUUUUCCGGCCCCGAGAGGUGGCUGGUAAUCAGUAAUAGGUGUCGUGAUGGGGAUAGAUCUUUGGAAUUAUUGAUCUUGAACGAGGAAUGCCUAGUAAUCGUAGGUCGUCAGCCUGCGAUGAUUACGUCCCUGCCCUUUGUACACACCGCCCGUCGCUCCUACCGAUUUCGAGUGGUCCGGUGAACCUUUCGGACAGAGAGAGUCUCGUACAAUCUCUGAAAGUCAAGUAAACCACAUCACUUAGAGGAAGGAGAAGUCGUAACA